UCAAACUUGGUCAUUUAGAGGAAGUAAAAGUCGUAACAAGGUUUCCGUAGGUGAACCUGCGGAAGGAUCAUUACCGAGUUACGGGUACCUCGAGUACCCAACUCCCACCCUUUGUGAACUUGUUUCCUGUUGCUUCGGCGGGUCGGUGCUCGCAUGCUCCGGUUUAACCACUGGGGAGCACCCGCCGAAGGAUUUUAAACUCCUGUUUAACAUGAAAUCUGAGUUAAAACAAAAUAAAACAAAACUUUCAACAACGGAUCUCUUGGUUCUGGCAUCGAUGAAGAACGCAGC
rnacentral:misc_RNA from 1 species